rnacentral:rRNA from 1 species
CCUACGGGAGGCAGCAGUGGGGGAUAUUGCACAAUGGGGGGAACCCUGAUGCAGCGACGCCGCGUGGGUGAAGAAGCGCCUCGGCGCGUAAAGCCCUGUCAGCAGGGAAGAAAAUGACGGUACCUGAAGAAGAAGCCCCGGCUAACUACGUGCCAGCAGCCGCGGUAAUACGUAGGGGGCAAGCGUUAUCCGGAUUUACUGGGUGUAACGGGGGCGCAGACGGCGAUGCAAGCCAGGAGUGAAAGCCCGGGGCCCAACCCCGGGACUGCUCUUGGAACUGCGUGGCUGGAGUGCAGGAGGGGCAGGCGGAAUGCGUGGUGUAGCGGUGAAAUGCGUAGAUAUCAGGAGGAACACCGGUGGCGAAGGCGGCCUGCUGGACUGCAACUGACGUUGAGGCCCGAAAGCGUGGGGAGCAAACAGGAUUAGAUACCCGAGUAGUC